AGGGGUAUAGUUCUUCGGAGCUAGAGACCGGCGCACGGGUGCGUAACGCGUAUGCAAUCUACCUUUUACAGAGGGAUAGCCCAGAGAAAUUUGGAUUAAUACCUCAUAGUAUAAUGACUCGGCAUCGAGAUAUUAUUAAAGUCACAACGGUAAAAGAUGAGCAUGCGUCCCAUUAGCUAGUUGGUAAGGUAACGGCUUACCAAGGCUACGAUGGGUAGGGGUCCUGAGAGGGAGAUCCCCCACACUGGUACUGAGACACGGACCAGACUCCUACGGGAGGCAGCAGUGAGGAAUAUUGGACAAUGGGCGCAAGCCUGAUCCAGCCAUGCCGCGUGCAGGAUGACGGUCCUAUGGAUUGUAAACUGCUUUUAUACGAGAAGAAACACUCCGACGUGUCGGAGCUUGACGGUAUCGUAAGAAUAAGGAUCGGCUAACUCCGUGCCAGCAGCCGCGGUAAUACGGAGGAUCCUAGCGUUAUCCGGAAUCAUUGGGU
rnacentral:rRNA from 1 species